rnacentral:lncRNA from 1 species
CUCCCAGCGAGACUCAGUGGGGCAGCCAGCCCGGGGCGAUGGCCACUCACACCUCGCUGUCCCGCACAGGGAAGGAAGAGACUUGGGUCCUGGUUUGGGUUGGACAUGGAUGCCAAGCGCAUACUAUUUCCGCGAUUUUAGCUCGGAUCACCACCCUGGUAUUUGUGUUGCUCUUUAAAUUAACCUUCUCUUAAUUCAUCAGCAUAAUAUGGGCAUAAACUAGAAAAGAAAGAGAUGUCUCUGAACUCCGUUUCCCAGCAGGCUUCGAGAGACAAGUAUCCUACCUCCCUUCCCCAGGCCAGGGCAGGAGUCUCGGUUGUCCUGGAAGGUCUCACACUUGUCCACCUGUCAGCCACUGGAGUCUGCUAUUCUCUCUUCCAGAGUCUUUCCUUUGGACUAAGCACCUGCCCUCCCCCCCCCUCCAACCCACCCUUUCGAAAGCUGUUAAUUUUACUAGUGAUCUAUGUUCAUUGAAGAAAAUUAGGUAAGGCCCUGUUAAAUGUAAAUAUUUUACCUGGAAUAAAGCCUACAUUUUCUAGCCUCUUUUGCUGCUGUACGUGGCCACAGCAGCCCGUGGACUAUAAGUAGAUGUGGGACGUGCAACUUGGAGAAGUGACUAUGAAGGGAGAUAACAUUCCCUUCCCUG